rnacentral:rRNA from 1 species
AUUGAAUGCUGGCGGCAGGCUUAACACAUGCAAGUCGAGCGCGCGCCAGACGUGUGAGUAAUGUCUGGGACACUGCCUUAAGGCGGGGGAUAACUACUGGAACCGGUAGCUAAUACCGCAUACCAUCAGAUGAUCCCAGAUGGGAUUAGCUAGUAGGUGGGGUAAUGGCUCACCUAGGCGACGAUCCCUAGCUGGUCUGAGAGGUUGACCAGCCACACUGGAACUGAGACACGGUCCAGACUCCUACGGGAGGCAGCAGUGGGGAAUAUUGCACAAUGGGCGAAAGCCUGAUGCAGCAAUGCCGCGUGAGUGAAGAAGGCCUUCGGGUUGUAAAGCACUUUCAGCGAGGAGGCGGUACUCGCAGAAGAAGCAACGGCUAACUCCGUGCCAGCAGCCGCGGUAAUAC